rnacentral:tRNA from 1 species
GGGGAUGUAGCUCAGGGGUUAGAGCAGCAAGCUUAUAUCUUGCCGGUCGAUGGUUCAAUUCCAUCCAUCCCCACCA